CGAGGAGCGGUGCCGGUUGCUAACCCCGGGUGAGCCUUAAGUCUGCGCCUUGGGCUCGGGUCUCGUAGGCGCCAGCCAGCAACCUUCAGAUGCUUGGGCCUCCGUUUGGCAAACGUUCUGCGCCAGAGGAGGACGGCGCGAGGGGGCCCCAGGAGCCCAGGGUCUGGCGGAGGAGGGCCGGGCGCGGCGGACGUAGAGCAAGGAAAUCCUCAGCCUAGCAUUUGGUGUAUCGCUCACGUCUACCAUGGGAGCCAGCAUCUUCA
rnacentral:lncRNA from 1 species